AAAGAAAAUAAAUAGUUUCUUAGCAAGAGCAGUUUCUCCAGCAAGAUGUUUUGCACUUUCAGUUUCACAUACUUAGCUAGCAAAUGCAGCUAGCUAGUUUAGCCUACUCAAACACCCAGCUCAAACAGAGGGAUGCUAUGUUAGCUAGCUGGCUAUGACUAUCCAACACAACACAGGAACUCUUCCAAUCGUCAUUCCUUACAGAAUGCAGCAGCCAACACACGAAGCAUCGGGGAGUACUGGCGUUCCAGUUGGUGGUGACCUUGGUCCUGGGUCGCUGCCGAUGGAACCGGGGGUGCCUAGCCAGCUCGAGAGGUUUCCUUUCCCCGGUUGGCUCGGAAGGCGCCCAUCCCAAGUCGGGCCUCAGCCGGAUCGUCAGGUCUUGUUUGCCCAGCCGGCCCAGAAGUUUUGUUGUUUUGUUGGUGACGUCGGGCUUGGAUUCCGCCACCGAUGGAACCGAGGGUGCCCAAGCCAGCUCGUCGGGCUUCCACGUCCUAGCUGGCUCGAGGUUUCCUUGCCUCGGUUGGCUCGUCAGGUUCCCAUCCCACGUCAUGCUCCACCGGAUCUUCGUGCUUCCACGCGCAGCGAGAUCGACAGACGUUCAUGCCUUAGCCAGAUCGUCAGGCUCCUACGUCCCUGCCAGUUUGUGGGGAGUUUACCCCAGCCGGCUUGCCCAGCGCCCAUGUCUCGGCCGGCUCGCCCAGGCGGGACGCCGGGGGGGGGGUGUUACUGUCACGCCUGCUCCAGCUCUUUCACCCUGGCGCUCGAGGGCGCCUUGCUGCCCUGCAUUACGCAUUGCUGCCACCAUCAUUUACGCACACCUGCCUUCCCUCGUCACGCGCAUCAGCGAUAUUAGACUCACUCAAUCUCCUGUUUAUUACCUCCCCUAUAUUUGUCAGUUCCCCAGCUCUGUUCCCCACUGCUGCAUUGUUUGUCGUCUGUCUUUGUGUUUCCCAGUUCUGACGCUGUUCCUGUCCUGUUGCAUGUCCAUUCCUAAUUAAAUGUCAACUCCCCGUACCUGCUUCUAUUCUCCAGCGUCAUUCCUUACAAUUUGAGUAUCAUGUAGAAGCCUAAACCUAUCGAUGUUACAUUGGACUGGGUGAAUGGAAUAUGAAUGACAGUCAUCCAAUAUGCUGUAAUAGAAAUAAGACACAGGCAUCAGGAAUUGUCUACCACCCAAAGGACAUCCAGCCAACUUGAC
rnacentral:lncRNA from 1 species